rnacentral:lncRNA from 1 species
GCCUAUUGAAUUGAGAAUGAGAGAAUAUAACCUUUAGUAAUUUCUAAUGCAGUACACCCUCCGUCCACAAAAUUUGUAGCAUGACUUAAGGGGCUCUGGUUUUUAAUAAAUUGUUGGUAGAUGACAGAGAAAGAAACCCACCAAAAUUGAGUGGAGAAAUGAACCCACUAAAAAUAAUGUGCUAAAUGAUUGAGGGUUUUUUUUUUUUUUUGUAAAUAUUAAGCGAAAAUGAGGUUUGAAAUUUAAGGGGUAGUUUCCAAAAAAAGAAAAGACUAUAAUUUUCAUGGACGGAUGAAAGUAGUAAUAAGACAACAAUUUUCGUAGAUGGAGAUAGUUGGUUGUGUAUUGUAUUCAAAUUAUUGGAAUAGUUUAUUAUUAAGAUAGUUUUCAAAUUUAAUCAAACC